rnacentral:rRNA from 1 species
AGCGAAAGCUGGCGGCAGGCCUAACACAUGCAAGUCGAACGAACCCUUCGGGGUUAGUGGCGGACGGGUGAGUAACACGUGGGAACGUGCCUUUAGGUUCGGAAUAACUCAGGGAAACUUGUGCUAAUACCGAAUGUGCCCUUCGGGGGAAAGAUUUAUCGCCUUUAGAGCGGCCCGCGUCUGAUUAGCUAGUUGGUGAGGUAAUGGCUCACCAAGGCUACGAUCAGUAGCUGGUCUGAGAGGAUGACCAGCCACAUUGGGACUGAGACGCGGCCCAAACUCCUACGGGAGGCAGCAGUGGGGAAUCUUGCGCAAUGGGCGAAAGCCUGACGCAGCCAUGCCGCGUGGAUGAUGAAGGUCUUAGGAUUGUAAAAUCCUUUCACCGGUGAAGAUAAUGACUGUAGCCGGAGAAGAAGCCCCGGCUAACUUCGUGCCAGCCGCCGCGGUAACAC